GUACUGUGUGUUCACUCGCAACGGAAAAGAGGAGCAGUGCGGCCUAGUCUUCGUUAAAGCCCAUUAUCCCUGCACGUUUGCAGUAACUGCCCCCAUUAUCUUAGCACGCCGCCACGCCUCAUCCUCCUCUUCCUAACAAAUCCCCAUUCUCACGCAUAGGGCCGGCUAGCUAUCGAUGUUUCUGGAUGGCGGCAGCAGCGACAAUUCACCGUGGAAACAUCGGGGGUGCUGCCACUGCAGUCGACAUGGUCUCCACUGACUUUGUCAGUCGCUUGGUCCGAGGCCUCCUACGAAAACAUCUUACCUCUGUCGUUCUAUGCUUUCAGCCGUCCAUGCAUUCUUAGGUUUCUCCUGUACGUUGGUUAUGACAAG